AUAUAGUAUUGGAUGGACAAAACAAAUGUGAAUAAUUUAUAUUUGAAGAUAGAGAAGACACACUCCUGCAGAGAGGGGAAAACAUUGUCUUUACCAAAACAAAUAGGAAAAAGAGGUCUCUGUCACAUCCUGGACACUGAACCAAACAAACUUCAGAGGGGAUGGCUUAUUUCAUUUCAUUGUUGCUAUUUUACAGACUAUUAGAGGACUAUUAUCCAAUAUAUACAAUGAACUGAAGAAGUUAGACUCCAGAGAAUCAAAUAACCCUAUUUAAAAUGUGGUACAGAGAUAAAUAAAGAACUCUCAACUGAGGAAUACCAGAUGGCUGAGAAAAAAAAAAAAAAAACAAAACAAAACUAAAGAAAUGUUCAGCAUCCUUAGUCAUGAGGAAAAUGAUCAAACCCAGAAAGAAAUCCCAAGUUAAUAACCACUUCAAAACUGAAGAUCACAGGAAACUACACAUGACUAUACAGCAUGAUAUUGACCAUGUGGAUGUAGUGAAAAUACAAAUACUGACAAAUAUGAAUGUGGAUCAGAGAAAAUAACAUAUCACUGGAC